CUACGGGAGGCAGCAGUGGGGAAUCUUGGACAAUGGGCGCAAGCCUGAUCCAGCAAUGCCGCGUGGGUGAAGAAGGCCUUCGGGUUGUAAAGCCCUUUCGGCGGGGAAGAAAUCGGUCAGGCGAAUAGUCUGGCUGGAUGACGGUACCCGCAGAAGAAGCACCGGCUAACUACGUGCCAGCAGCCGCGGUAAU
rnacentral:rRNA from 1 species